rnacentral:lncRNA from 1 species
AAGUAAUCCAUUCCAGAAGACCGUUUGACUUCUGAAACUUUCAACAACUGAGGCACAAUUGCAGGUCAGCAAAUUUCUUUUUUUAAAAUGGAGAAAUGCACCUCAGAAGCUGUUCGACUUCCGAGGCACGUUCAAAAAUGGAAGCAUUCACUUCCGGGUUGUCGGCUUUCGAGUUCCAAAUUGUUUGGCUUCCGAAGUGUUUGACAACCAAGGUUCCACUGUAACGAGUUAUAGCAUGAGUCACGUAACACCUUUACAUAUCUCAGCCUUUCUUAGCCUGGGGCCUUCCAGAUGGUGGCUGAGGCUGAUGGGAGUUGUAGUCCAAAACCACGUUGAGGAAGGAAAGUGUAUCUUAUAGUAAAUAUAUCUUGCAUUCUGAAAUCAUAAACAUGUUCCUGGGUGCCACUAGAAAGUCUCUGCAGUCAGGUACUUCAUUUUUGCCAUUCCUAUCCUUGUUGCCCUAGUGGCUGCCAUGCUUUCUUCUUGCUGGCUGGCUGUGUUGUCUAGGGCUUAGCCACUUUUCUCUGUGCCUAGAAAGCAUGAGUCACAAAUGUUGGAUCCUGAGCAAGAACCCGAAGGCUGAGAGGGAGGGUAUGCCUGAGUUGAUACUGAUUUUUAUAUAUUAGCAAUUUUGUAGUGAUGUAACAUUUUUAUAAAUAACUGUACUUUGUAAUAAUUUGUUUAAGUCGUCUGUUGUUAGUUCAGUUUUUUGCACACCAUUUGGAGAUACCUUUAAUAUAUUAAGUGGGGUAGAAAUUAAAUAAUCAAAUGAAAUCAAACCAGCCUUCUGUUCCCUAAGCUAGCCUGCUGCCCUCGGGUUUGGCAGAGCCAGAGACGUCUGUUCCAUUGCUAGAACUGAAGCAAGAGUUAAUUACCAGUCUGACCAGGUUCAGCACAUGGACUGCAGGGAAGGCAUCUUCUGUGACCCAUCAUAAAUCAAUGUGCACUUCCCUCUGUCAAUAUGAAUUGCACAAGGGCACAAUGGGGAACUCAUAAAAGAAGGUCCUGUUUGUAUGCAGCCUUAAUGAGCAAAUGCAUUGCGAGGAGCUGAGCUCGCUCAUUAAGAUAGUUUGUGUUUGUUCUCAUAUGCUAUCCUUCAUUUCUUAAGCCCAGGGGUCAGCAAACAUUUUCAGCAGGGGGCCGGUCCACUGUCCCUCAGACCUUGUGGGGGGGGGCAGACUAUAUUUUGGAAAAAAAUAUUAACAAAUACCUAUGCCCCACAAAUAACCCAGAGAUGCUUUUUAAAUAAAAGCACACAUUCUACUCAUGUAAAAUAACACUGAUUCCUGGACCGUCUGCAGGCUGGAUUGAGAAGGCGAUUGGGUCAGAUCCAGCCCCCAGGCCUUAGUUUGUCUACCCAUGCUUAAGCCCCAUCAAACCCAAUUCUUUGAAGGAUUGCUUCUGCUUUUAUGACUCAUUCUAAAGGUCCAUCCUACCAACUCCACUUUGAUGAUAUUAGGUAGCAUAAUAGUCUUCCUUCCUGAGCGGCUCUACCUUCCCAGUGAUUAGAAUGGGCUUGUCACUCCUUCUCAUUAGCUUGUGUCUGAAUCAAGCACAGUUGGUGGCAACUUGCAUAGCUCAUGCUGAAAAUAUUAUAUUGAUCCCUGGAACUCUGUCUGCUGAAAGAAGCAACAGCAUUUUCUGUCUGAACGAGUAUGUAUCUAUGUGGUGAGCUUUGUUUGUGACAGACACCUUCUGUUAACACUUUGAUUGUAAUAGCUUGCUGCAAUUUUCUCAUUGUCACACUAUUGGUGGAGGGAACCAGACUGUUAAGUGGUCUUUCCUAUCUCUUCUGUUUCAUCAUUCACAUUUUCCUUGCUAUCCAAUAUUCCACUGAAAAUAUUUACCAAGCCUUUGUGGUUGGGGUCGAAGGGAUUGUGGUCUAGCAAAAAAUGAUGAAUGUUUUGACACUGUUGCAUCAGAAAUAUUGAUGUGUUGCACAUCUAACAAUAGCUGUCAAGAUGCUCAACACACAGUCCAACACACACUGACCAUUACAUUCAGAGGGACCCAUGUAGGACUAUUAAGUUGAUUCCCAAGGUACUUUGGAGACUAUAGGUCUGUGAGUUUCCUUGUGAAUCAGAGUUGCCUAAUAAUUCUCGGCAUUCUUAAUCAACUACAGUUCCCAGGAUUCUCUAAGAGAAGCCAUGCCUGUUUAAAGAGACAUGAUACAAGUGCCCUAGAAAAAAAAGGGACAUCCUGUUUUCUUGUGCAAGAUUACAGUGGCCAUUUUGAGUGCCAUGGUCUCACACUGCACUUUUGCCCCCCCCCAAGCAGUUUUGCGGUGGCUGUGCUCUUGCGUGGUGCCAAAAAAUGUGUUUUUGGGUGCCAUGCAAGAUCUCACCUCCCCCAAAAAGUGCAGGUCAGGUGACUCACCCAGAAGUGCCUCCUGAAAGAUGUGAGUUCUGGUUUUGGGUUUCCAAAAGUUGGAAAGUAUGAUGAUACUGCUUCCUGCGUGUAGUGCAGAUGGAGACUUACCAAAAUGCCCCGUGUUUUCUAUAAUUUGACUUCUUGUGUCAACAAUCCUCUCUGUCACUCGCCCAAAGACAAUACAGGAACAAAAUGAUUUAUCAAGAGUAGAUGCCUGGAAGAAGAAGAAGAAGAAGAAGUAGUGGUGGUUUGGAUAAUCAAGGACCACUAAGUGUCUGUGAGACUGGCAUCUACCUCACUGAAGCUGGCGGAGCCGUUAGCAUGAUUUCAUGGUUUCUGUAGUGAAACUUAUAUUCCUGAAAGGGAAAUAUCAAAACGAUGAUCAAAACGAUGAUAAAAACGAUGAUUAAAAGCUAUCCCUUUCAUCGUCUCUUUGUUUCUACUCCAUUUUUAUGAGGACUAGAGACUUGCUCAAUGGAUUCUCAAAUGAGAGUAUAAAGUAUAUGGGAAUGCAUGAGCUAUGUAUUAACAUGAACAAGUAAUAUGACCUUUCAAAGCAUAUAUACUGGAGCCACUUUCUACUGGAUCCUAACAAAAUAAAUUAAAUCCAACUUUCUAUUUUCAAUUGACAGUCUGGAGAUGGGAUUGUAGAAAUGUUAAAAGAUCAGUCAGUGAGGUAAGAAAGUCACUUUUUCAAGCCCUGUGCUUCUUUUUCAAGGACGGUGUGGAAAGGGCUGCAUGUCAGAAGGCAAAUUGUGAAACACUGCAGAGUAUAGGAUUUUAGCACCAAGUAUUUUGUUUACGUGAGUGAAUGAAUGUGGUGUCUCUCCAUAUGCAUCUUGAUAUUAUGAAGGGUACAGUACCUCCUUGCAUGCCCUUUGUCUGGUCACUGUCUGUUAGCCUAGCCUACUUCACAGGGUUGUUGUGAAGGGAAUCAUAUAAACGGGUUUCAACACUUUUUUUUUAAAAAAGGCAAGAUAUAAAUGUGAUAAAUGAAAGCAUUAAAUAGUCAUGAAGGAGAUCUACCAGUACAGACAGGUGUUUACAGAAGAAUCUUCCUAAUCUUUUUUAUCCCUAUUAAAAUAAAAUAAAAAAUCCAAGCUGAACAGUCAUCUAAACUGGCAACAAAACAACUAACUAAAUAUUGUCUGAACUUAUCCAGCCAAGGGAGCUUUCUACUUUCUUCUGGGAAAGGAAGAAAAGGCUUGCCUAUCUGGUACACCAAAUCACCCCAUACUUCUUCAUGACAAGGAAGCACAAUCCAAGAAAAUAGGAGUGGUUGUGCUGGAAGAUGGGAAUUAGUGAAGCUCAUUGAAGCCGUGACAGCCUAUCAGUUACUUAACUUUGGUACUGCAGCCUACUGGAACACAAAUAAACUAUGUCACACAGACAUGAAAUGAUGCAUACUGACUCUGCUUUUUUGUGUGUAGCUGUAGAUAAUAAAGUCAUAAUUCACCAGGAAGCCAAUACCCCAUUGCUGGAUGGGCCGGGCAAUCUUUAUUGCAGACCAACCUUCACUUUUAAGAGUUAUAAAUCAGAUACAGAAUUUUACUCCUCUGAACCUCCUCCAAACAGAAAAUCACCACCAACAGCCAUUUUAAACUAACUAAUCACACUGAAAGCAAUGGUCUGAACAAUGCAAUGUUUUAAUAUACAGCAAAUGUUUACAGUAGAUGAAGCCUUGAUUUGCUAUCACAGUGAAAUAGCUUUCUUUCCUUAAAUGCCAAUAUCCUCAAGCUGGGAGAGUGGAAGAUACCAAGUACACAAGGAAACAUUUGGGUGCUGUAUAAUGAUUAGCAAGGAUGAAAUAUAGCUGCGUUUGUUUAUAUCAUAUCUUAGGCUACAGUCCUGUACUACCCAUAUACUUGGGAGAAAGCCCCAUUAAAAUAAAUACCACUUACUUUUGAGUGAGGGAGUAUGAAUAGAAACCAGCCAACUGCAUAAAUGUAAUAUUCACAUUCAUUGCUCUGCUCACUUUUGUCACUGGCAUAUAGUCUUUGGUUGGCUGCCCAGAAGGGAAGGUGGUCAUCUAGCUGAAAAGUUUUCCCAAACACAUGGUACUUGAUCCAUAUUUUCUUUAACAGUAGGUGUUAGGCAUUCAGACCUGCAACCUCCUGCUUGCAAAUAAUAGAAUCACAAAAUUGUAGGAUGCAGGAAACUCAACUAAAGUAUCCAUGACAGAUGGCCACCCAACCUCUGCCCAAAAACAUCCAAGGAACCACCUCUUGUGGAAGUCUGUUUCACUGUUGAACAGCUCUUAUUGUCAGAAAGUUCCUCCUGAUGUUUAGUCGUAAUCUCCUUUCUUGUAACCUGAAUCUAUUGGUUCAUGUCCUACCUUCCAGAGCAGAAGAAAACAAGUUUGAUCCACCCUCCCACCCUCUAUGUGACAACCCUUUAAAUAUUUGAAGAUGGCUGUUAUAUCUCCUCUUUACCAAGCUAAACAUACCAAACUCCCUCAACCGUUCUUCAUAAGGCUUGGUUUCCAGACCCUUGAGCAUCAUGGUCACCCUCCUCUGCACAUAGUCCAGCUUGUCAAUAUCCUUCUUAAAUUGUGGCACCCAGAACUGAGCACAGUACUCCAGAUGUGGUCUGAUCAAUGCAGAACAGAGCAAGACUAUGACUUCUCUUGAUCGGGAUACUACUCUUCUGUUGAUGCAGCCUAGAGUAGUAUUAGCUUUUUUGAGCUUCUUUUUGCUGCUGCUGCCUCACACUGUUGACUCAUGUUAAAUCUGUGCAUUUUUAAGACUCUUAGAUCCUUUCCCCAUGUACUAAUAGCAAUCCAGGUGUCCCUCAUCUUGUAUGUGUGCAGCUGGUUAUUCCUCAUUGGCUACCCCACCCAGUUUCAUGUCUUCUACAAAUGUGAUGAGCACCGCCUCACCUUCAACAAAGUCAUUUAUAAAGAUGGUGAACAACAAUGGGCCAGGAGAGAACCCUGUGGCACCUCACUUGUCACCUGUCACCCCCUACCCACCAGUGUGAUGAGAAUCUGUUAGUGAGCACUCUUUGAAUUUGCUCAGUCAAUCAUCUACAAGUCCUCCGCCUGACCACUGAGCUAUGGCCCCUCUCUGAUUUAAUUUCAAGUGAGACCACACCAUUUGAAAAUGUGGCCCACAAAACUGUAGCAAUGCAUAUUUUCCUCAUCUUUUAAGUUAAUGCAGUUUGGAAAAGGGCAAGCCAGCAUGUUGACUUGCUAUAACUCCUCACUCAAUGGCUCCUCACAAAUGCCACCCAGAGCCUGCUAGAAGCAUACCUGGUAGAAGUGCUUUAGCUGUCCCCAUUUUCUCCUGAUGAGUUAAUUAAUCUCAGCUUUAAUUACCAAAUCAUCUUUGCCAAAUGGGUAAUCAGCCUCUGCAGCUGGCUUAAUGUCAUCUCUUAGAGAAGCGGCAGCAGAUGAGCCGAUCUGACUGCAUCUUACAGCCUAGUCUGACUUGAGGUAUUUGUGUUGAAAUAUAUUCAUUUGCUUCCAUGUUCAUUUAACAUAGAAAGAGACGCCACCCCAAACAUAACAGGUCACUCCUGGUUGCAACUUAGCUCUCUACAUUGUUUAUCAUUCUGUUAAAAUUUUAUCCUUGCAAGGCCUAACUCAAACUUAUGUACAUUUAACUUGUACGCAUUGUUUUACACAUUUGGCAAAAAAUAAAACAAAAAGCAUUAAAAAGGGGGUGAAAAGUGAGCAGGUGUCAGAAGCAGUAACCAAGAGCAGGUCAGCAAUAAAUCAUAUGGUGUCAGUGAAGUUAUCUCUUUAUUCAAGGAAACAAAGUCAACUCAGGAGGCCAAGCCUAGUGAACACAGCAACUCAUCCCGGUAGAUCUUGCCCUUAUGAGGCAGUUGUGGGGACUGAAGGUCCCCUCCUAUCCACAGUUCCCUAAGUUAGGGUUGCCAUAUUUCAAAACCAGGACACCCCAAAAGUUUUUUAUAGGAGCACCCCAAAGUUUUUGAGUGUGAAUUUUUCAUUGACUUGUCUAAGAUCCAGGACAAAGCGUCACCUUUCAAAUUCUCCCCUUCUGAGACUUCGUUGCCAUAUCUGUCUCUGCUCCAACCUCUUCACACCGCUUCUGGUUCUGGGAGACCAGAAGGUAGAUGAGAACCCUUGCUUCUUCUCCAGCCUGGUUUCUUCAUCACUGCCUCUUGGCCCCCCUUCUCUCUAGCCUCUCUUAUCAUAUAUGCACAGUGGGCGCAAAUACACAUCACAACAGUCUCCUAGUAUACAGGUCUUCCCUUCUUCCAAACACCGUCCAUCAUAAUGAUAGGCAGUUUGCCACUUAGCUUUAAUCACUGAGAUCUCCUGCUUGCAGAAGCAGUUAAGGUGCCUCUCUGAGAUGUCACUCAUAAGAAUAAGUUUCUGGCUGAAAAACGUGAGAGUUGACAGGAGAGAGAAAUCCUUGUUACUUCCCAGAGACCUGAAUGUAUUCAUAAAGCAGUUUUGGGACACUGUGUUUGCCACAGUGGAUGCUCUAUUUAAAUCAAUUCAAUACAUAAAUAACUCUUCAAAUAAAGGCUCCUGCACUUCCUCUCUGCAAGAAAUUGUGUUUGGCACCGGCCUAGUCAUGUCUCACACUUAAUGUACUGUGCUUCUCAGAGCAAGUAGCAAAACUAAAUUAUUUCGUCUGUGUGGGGCACUCGAAGGAAGCAAACUGCAGCAGCCUGUAAUCAAAGCUGAAGGGUGGGGAGGCAAGAAAAAUAAUUCCAGGAAAUAAAACAAAUGCAGAAGGGGAGAAAAUAGAUUUGGAAAUAUGAGAAGUGGGGGCAGGCGGGGGAAACAGCUCCAGCUGAGUGUUUUUUGGACUGGAAGAAAACACGGUUCUUUGAUUCAAAGCACAUUUUGCCAACAAAGAGCUGCGGAUUUUGGAAAAGCUGUCAUUUAUUUAUGAGCAAGACAUGACUAAGAGAAAGGAACUGCAGAUUUGGAGUGCAAAGACACUUUUUUUAUUGUUGCAAACCAUUGUGAAAGGAAAUGGGUUUCAAUCAUUUCCCUACUUCCUCCGUUAUCUCUUAAUACUAUAGAUGUUGGGUAGGAUCCAGCUAGCUCGUGCCAUCAGCUCAAGGAUUUCCACUUACUUGGUGGAACUUUCUCCCUUUCUCUUCUCCCCACAAGCGCUGACUCUGCAGUCCCCCCAAAUUUCUCUGGAGGGUUGGGGGAACCCACCCCUCAAAACUGACUUAGAGGGAAAGGAGGUGGGGUACAGUUCAACUACACCAGUGGGAAUCCUUACAUUGAUGGAACACCCUGUGCUUCAAAGUAGCAGAGGUCCGUAUAGUUAAAGCUAUGGUUUUCCCAGUAGUGAUGUAUGGAAGUGAGAGCUGGACCAUAAAGAAGGCUGAUUGCCGAAGAAUUGAUGCUUUGGAAUUAUGGUGCUGGAGGAGACUCUUGAGAGUCCCAUGGACUGCAAGAAGAUCAAACCUAUCCAUUCUUAAGGAAAUCAGCCCUGAGUGCUCUCUGGAAGGACAGAUCCUGAAGCUGAGGCUCCAAUACUUUGGCCACCUCAUGAGAAGAGAAGACUCCUUGGAAAAGACCCUGAUGUUGGGAAAGAUGGAGGGCACAAGGAGAAGGGGACAACAGAGGACGAGAUGGUUGGAUAGUGUUCCCGAAGCUACUAACAUGAGUUUGACCAAACUGCGGGAGGCAGUGGAAGACAGGAGUGUCUGGCGUGCUCUGGUCCAUGGGGUCACGAAGACGGACACGACUAAACAACUAAACAACAACAACAACAUAUAUUGAACCCAUGAGGGUUGUCCCUGACCACCAUUUAUUACAUUUAAAUGCCGCAUUUUCCUCCAAGGAGCUCAAGAUGGUGUACAUGGUUUGCUCCUCCCUCAUUUUACCCUGACAACAACCCUGUGAGGUAGGUUAGGCUGAGAGAUGGCAACUGGCCUAAAGUCACCCUGGCUGAGGGGGAAUUCGAACUCUAGUCUACCAGGUCAUAGUCCAAUACUAGCACUCCCAAGAUUCUUUGGUGGGCAUCCUGUAUUUUAAUAUGGUGUGUCUGCAGCCUAAAUCAGCUAACACCAUGUCACAUACUACAAAUCCCAGUCAACUAUCAGUUGACCAUGAAGAAACUGAUUUGGGGGAUUUCACAUGCCUUUCUUCCCAGUAGGCAAUAACUAGAAACCUGCAGGAAUCAAAAGCCUUCUUCAAGGACCAGAAAGCAGAAUCAUGAAGAAAAUAUUUGAAAGUGUGUUUAUAUAUAUAAUGUUCCACCAAGAAAAUGAUAUAUUAAAAAAAGCACUCCAUGCCUAAUUGCAGGUCAGCCUCUUUUAACCUACUCUUAAUUGAUUUCCUGGCAGUAUCGUAGUUUAUGGUUCUCGGUUCAUGUAUAACCAACCCACAGCUAGACAUUGACUCACAGCUCCUCAUCCAAUUAUUUUCUUUGUUUUUGCUGUUCCGAGCAAUAUUCAGAGCAUUUUCUUAACUGCUCAAGUAACAUCAUUAAAAAUGAAAAUGCUUACAACCCCAAAAGCUGGGUCUGUUCUCCUGGGUUGUUGCCAUACAGAUGAAUGGGUUGAACUUUGUAGAUUAGAGUGGGGUUGAUUCUCAAAGUGGGCAUCACUAUAGGCAGAGCAACAUGGUAUGUAGGCUGUGUUCAUACCAUAUACUAUAGCCAGUGCUUUUUUUCUAGGAAAAAUGGUGGCGGAACUCACUGCCUCAGUCGCCAACCCAGAUGCUGUUACUGCCAUCUUGAAACCAAAAUUAAGUGACAAGAUGCUGGGCUCGCCACUUGCCACUUCCCAUGCACUCAGGCCACUUUAGCCACAAUCCUGCUUGGUGAUUUCCUUUGCUGGGUGAACAGACUUCUUGUACGAAACAGGGCAAAAGAGCUGCCGGAAUUGCACUCUGGUGCGUUGCGGCAGGGGAGAAAAAGCCCUGCAUAUAUUUAAAGCACAUUUAAAACACAUGACUUCCCCAAAAGAAUCCUGGGAACUGUAGUUCCUUGGUGCUGAAUAAGAUAUAAUCUUUGCUCCUAUCCCUUUUCUUUGUGAGUUCCAUAAACUCUCCGUUAAUCUCACUUUCUAUAAAUUUCUGUGAUGUAAGGGUCAUUUUAUCUUUAGAGCAGCGUGUUUCGAUGCAUCAAUGAUUAUUUGCUGCCAGCAUUAUUGUUAUUAUUUAAUAAGAUUCCUACACUGCUUGACUGCAAAACAACAACAACCCUCAAAGCAGGUUACACAAAGAUAAAACAAGAAAACCAAGAAAAAAACUACAGCAAUACUUUAAAACGUACAAAAGUUAAAAUACUAAAACAGAUUUUAAAAUUACCUCAAAUUUCUAAUCAUCUGGGCAGACUUGUCUAAACAAGAAUGUCUUUAGCAGGUCCCAAAAAGAGGUUCCAGCUUGAUCUCAAGAGGCAGGAAGUUCCAAAGUGUAAGUGCUGCCAUAGUAAACGAUGGACUUCUUACAAAUUCGGAAUGGGCAUUACGCAUCAAUUGUAGUAGUGCCAAUUCCACCGCUCAAAGCCAUUGAAUGGGCACAUGUGGGGUAAAGGUGAUACUGUAGGUAAACUGGUCCCAAGCUGUUGAGGGCUUUAUAUGCUAAUAGUAACACCUUGAACCCAGCCCAGUAGCAAAUUGGCAACUAGUGCAGAUCUCUGAGCACAGAUGUCAUAUGCUGACAAGGCCUCGCCCCUGUCAGCAAUCAAGCUGCAGCAUUCUGCGCUAAUUGCAGCUUCCAGAUCAUUUCACAUAGUACAUUUACAUGCCAUUGUACCUUACUGUCGAGAGCCAGUGUGGUGUAGUGGUUAAGAGCGGUAGAUCCGUAAUCUGGUGAACCAGGUUCGCUUCCCCACUCCUCCACAUGCAGCUGCUGGGUGACCUUGGGCUAGUCACACUUCUCUGAAGACUCUCAACCUCACUCACUUCACAGAGUGUUUGUUAUGGGGGAGAAAGGGAAAGGAGAAUGUUAGCGGCUUUGAGACUAGAGUAAUGAUAAAGCAGGAUAUCAAAUCCAAACUCCUCCUCCUCCCCCUCCCCCUUCUUCUUCUUCUUCUUCUUCUUCUUCUUCUUCUUCGUAGCAUGCAUGUUUUCCUUCCCUUGCAAUAAACCAAUCUUUCCCUAGCUCUCGGUGUGAGUUGUUCUUUACUGGGUAUAAGGGUUAGAAUAAACACACAUUUAAAACAACGCACACUUGCUUCUUACUGAGGUCCUCACACGGAUUGGACAUGUAUGACGGUUCACACAUACACACAUAACAAGUGGGUGGAUAAGAUUAAACAUCUUGCGUAAGGCAAUUCAGUGAGCUCACAGCUGACCUGCUUUUUGAAGUAGCGACUGGGACUGCUGAAGGAUCAAAACGAAACAGUGCUUUUAAAAACAUCCCCAAAACAACCCACCUAUCCCAAAACUACAAAUGCUAUUGCGGGGGAUGAGAUAUAACCAGCUCAUUCCAGGAUCUGCUGGAAGCGACACAGCGAGGUGUCGGAGACGUUUCUCAUUGUGUAACACAUUAAUUAAUUUAAUUAAUUAACUAAAGCAAACUUUCCAAAGCUGCCCGCAGUUGGCAGACUGAGCUGCAUUCAGCAACCAUUUGCUCCCUGUUAACGUAACGCUCCCAGAGGGCACCGUCUGCGAUUUAUCCGAUGCCUUUGAAGCGACAGUACCCAUUGAUUAACCAUUAAGCGCUGCAGUAAAAACUGCUCUCUGUGUGUCGUGCAAUGGAGCAGCCGAUGUAACACAGCAAUUAGAGGGUAGGGUAGUACAUGGCUGCUAUUAGGGAUGGAUGGAUCUGUCAAUUUUGGUUCCUCUCAGUUUAGUCAUUUUUCCAACGCGAAGUUUGGCUUGCUGCAUUUCUGCGUCAGUUUGCUCUUUCUUUUCACCGGGAAGAAAAAAUAAAUUCUCAUAAAAGUUUGUCAGCAUUUUAGUGCAUAAUACGUAUUUGUGUGUAUGCAAUGGUGCCUAAUAUACACCUGUCUACCCUUAUAGAAUGCCUUUUUGCAAGUUGUUUUCACAAAUAUACACAUUUUCUGCACACUUCUCUUAAUAUACAUACUUUUGUGCUCUCUUGCUGGCCAGGAAACUGCAGUGCAAAUUGUGAAUUUCAAAGGAUAGCUGUGUUUUGGUUCCCCUGUUGUUCUGCAAAGGGCAAGUUAGUAAGCAAACCAAACUGAAUUUCUCUCUUACCCUCCCCGCUCCCAGUACUGUUCUAUAGGAAUAUAGGGAGAUGCCUUAUGGUGGGCCAAAUCAUUGGUCCAUCUCCCUCUGCAUUAACCUUUUCCUUCAAAAUUAUAGGACAGGCUUCAUAUGACAGCUUCACCAUUUCCUUCAUUGGGUACAAAUAUUUUAUUUUCCAUAGAAACAGGACUCCAUUUUUGCACCUACACACAACACAUUUAAUUGUUUUCCAAGGCAUGGAGGAGAGGAAAAAGGGAAAGCAGGACAUUCUGGGAUCCAAUCAGAAACCAGUACAGCUACUGUACUUUCAGGACUUUCCCUGGAAAAUCAGGACGAUUGGACACUCGGGUCUGCUAAUGGUCUAGCUUAGUAUAUAGUAACACCAGCUUCAUGUGUUCAGCGUACAUGCCACACAUUUAAAGUGUAUUUGAAAUACAUGGUUUCUCCCCCCACCCCAAGAAUCAUAGGAACUGUAGUUUGUUGGUGCUGGGAAUUGUUCUCCAUGUUUGGGUAAACUAGAAUUCCCACAAUUCUUUGUGGGAACCCAUGUGCUUUAAAUGUAUGGUGUGUCCGCACCCAGCUCUUUGGAAGAAUGCAGAGAAAGUGAAGUGAACACUGUGGUUUAGCUCUGUAAUACACCAGCCCAUUUUAUGUAGGCAUGUUUUUAUCUAGAGAGGCAGUACUGUAAAAGUGGUGUAAACACGUCAAAUCCAUCUCUAAAGCUUUCUAAACCAAAAGGUGUUUUUCCCCUGAAUGCAAAGAGUCAUGAGGCUGUUUUCACUCUCUCUCUCUGCCUUAGCUCCAAGAGUCCCUAGAACAGUUAGGAAUAUCUGUAAGGCGGCAGAUGAAUUUUGAACAAAUAUUCUCUGAGCUGUCAACAAGAUUUCAGCAUCUGAAUGUCGAUUUCAUUCUGAUCCAACAUUACAGUCAAAGACGGCAAUUCCAUCGCUGUAAAGUAGUUAUGUCUCCCUGAUUACCAUCUGCGGCAGACACAAUUUCAAAUCAUCCCCAUUCUUUUAUAUUAUCUUUGCUGAAAAGGAGAAGUCUUUGUUAAUCUUACAUUACAGUUGGCAAUAGAAUGAUCACAAAGGGAAGCAAUCUGAAUGGGGACAGGGCAGCAGUAAAUUGUGGCACUCAUAAGCACAAUAUCCCAUGUUACAAAAGAAUAGUCCCAAUAUGUUAAUGACUUUUAUAGGUAUUGAUGCGGUUCUAUAGGUUCUGAUGGGGUUCAGAGUCACAAGUCAAUGCCCUAAUCCAGAAAUUAGGCUUCUCUAGUCCUGGCAAUGGUGAGGGCCGUUCCAUGCAUACUACUUGUAUGAGCAUCUCUCAAGAGGAAACUUGUCCCUUUCCCCUGAGGAAUGAACUGCCUCGCUGUUUAGAGAAAACGAACUCCAGACAUUCUGAUAUUUAACCUUCACCUCCCAUGAGCUCUAGCUUCAGUCAAGUAUUUAAAAUACUGCCUCUAAGUUACCUCAGCAGUUGCUUCCUUGUUAAGAAAAUGCAUGAAUGCAUGAUUAAAAUAUAUCACUGAGGCUUGCUGAUUCUCUGUGAAAAAUAAACCAGCUGAUGAGAGAUUCUCAGACACGCUUACUUAUCAAAACAAAAUAGGAUUAGAAUUAUUUGCAAUUAACUGAAAGGUUUGAGUGCAAGCGUUUGGUAAGACUCCUGUGUAGGUGUGAGAAAUGAUAACCUAGAUAAAAUUACAGAACCAGCACCAGCUGCCAAAUAACACGUUCCUCACACCCGGUUUGUAGUGUUGACUGCAAUUUCAAAACUGCACUGAUCCUUUGGGUUUCUCAGAAUUCCUGAGCAAUGCCAGAUACAAAGCUGUUGGCUUGAGAGCUAGAUCACAGGAUGCAGUGAUAUUGUGAUGUUACAAUAUCCUUUGUAUGAACACCUCAGAGAGAAUGUGUGGUGGUACAAAUGUAACUGUUCUUUUUAACAAAAUUGAGAAAACAACAAUUGGGGGGCGUUUAUUUUGUUAUUAUGCAUUACUUUAUUAUUACAUUUGCGCUGCAAUUUUCUUCCAGAAAGCUUGGGGUUAACGAGAAGCAAGAAGUGCAGAGCAAGACUUUUCAAGGCCAAUGACAGGCUUGUAUAGUGAUAUAUUAUUUUUGGCCUAAAGUUGCUAUUCACAUCACUUUUGCAUUGGCAAAAAAAACCCUUGCAGAGGUUCAGGAACUUUUAAAUCGUAUUCCUGAAGUAUGGGGAUUAAUAGCAGGAUAGCAAAAGUGGACUUGGUGAGCCCUUGUGGUUGCUAACAGACUUACACUUUAAGCCUUGAAGGAUAAAUAUCCACCAUCUAUUAUGCAAUACUCUGAGAGGCACACUGCUCUUUCUACAUUCUAACAUAUUUCAGACGGAUGUCAGUUUCAUGUGGAUACGUAGGUUUAUAUUAAAUUCAGUGUUUAGCUUAAGAUGCAUUUAUUGAUGGCUACUGUAUCCAUGCUGUGACCUGAUUGGAUGUGUGAGAGAGUGUGUUUGGUUACUAUUAACAUUAUUAAUAAAUUAUUGUUUCAUUUUUAAAAUUCAAAUUAUUAUUUUAUUUCUUCAAUUAUUCCCCCGUCUGUUUUUGUUAAAGUUUAAAAUGACAAUUAAUUUUUUAAAAGACCAAUGACAGGAAAGUUUGUUCCCCUUUUACGAGAUACAAAAUACUGUACGUGGAGGGAGGGGAGAAGAUAUUAAGUGCGAAGAAGGAAAAUAAACAGCACAUUUGCGUGCUGGAGUGCAGGCAAUGCCACCUCCGUUCACAGUUGUUAGUAGCAGGUUGUGUGUAAAAACUGGUGGGCCUUGACGUAAACUAAGAUGCAAGUGUAAAUUUAUCUGAACCUCUGUGACGAACACACUGUAGUAUGCUUGUAUCGGGGGGCAGAGUAGUAAGACGGCCGUGCCUUGGUUACCACCUUCAGAGCAUCCUGCCCCUAGACUGUGAAGUUUAUUUCCCAUCCGAACUGACCAGUUCAGUUCCCACACUGAAGCUGAACUAUUUGUCAGCAUUGGCUUGUUCAUACAUAUAUUCACCCCAGGGGCGCCCUGUUCUGUUUCGCUGCCUGAGGCAAAACACCACCACUGAAGCCUUGCUUACUGGAGUUGAGCAGCAGUGACUUCUUCCAACAAGAUCUCCUAGAGAUCUCAUGAGAACUUGCUGGAAGAAACAGCCACCAUUCAAUCCCAGUGGCUGCAGAGGUGAGCGGGGCAAAACCUCACAAGAUUCCACUGCCUGAGGCUGCUAUUUCAGAUUACCUGAUGGGCAGGCCAGCUCUGUUUCACUCUCUGAAGUGUGAGUGUGUCUGAAUAUUCCCUGUUAGCAUAGCAGUUCAGAAAAUAACUGUGGGGUGGAGGCUUACAAACUACAGCGUCAGACUGUUUGUUGUUUACCAUUUGUGAAUAAGGUCGACUCAUUUUGUUCUCAGGUUUGUCCUACAGAAAGGGAGCAUGUGCCAGAGAUCUAUCUAUGAAGAUUGUUGACAAUAAGCCUUAUGGCAAUCUUAGCAGCUCUUUGCUACAUUUCUUUGAUAUAUUAAACUGCAGGUGGCUUAUGCAGUUAGGCAGCCCGGCUGCUGCAAACGGUCAUUAGCGGAGCUGCAAAGAUUUAAAUCCAAACAACCUGUACAAUGACAACAUAAUUUUUUUAUUUCCGCAGACAUCACACUUCCCGUAUAUGUGCAUCCUCUCCAUCUCUUGAAAUCAAGGCUGUUAAAAAAACCCCCAACCACAUUCUACAUUCUCUAGCAGAAUAUAACUCAAGAAGCCGUGCACUGAUUUUACAGGUAGGUCAGUUAUGUAACAGGUACAUUUGAGUUCGGGGGAAAGAUAAUAAUCUUAGCAUGCCUAUUUUGCUUUCCCCAUCACUUUGGGCUUCAAAACUCCAAGUUCCUGCUUUCCUGUCCCCUUCUUCUUUGAUUGUCAUCUCUGUGGUUUACAGAGGCAGGUGGAAUCCCUUCAAGGCCAAAUAAAUGAAACAAGCAAAAUGGGGUUGGCAGAUUUUUGAUUUAUUUCUCUUUUUUUUUACUUCUCAAGGCAAACAGGAAUGUAGUGUCCCCUCAAACCCUACAGCCUCUGCCUUAUAGGUCAUCCACGUCCCACUUUAGGACAUAGCAAAUCCGAGAUUAUAAGGCAUUAUUUCUCAGUGUGCAAUUCUUCCGCUCCAGAGACAUUGCCCACCCCACUUGCCACAGUGUCCCCAUAGCUAUCUGUGCCACUCCACAUAAUAGUGAAUCUACUCCUUUAAUGGAUGUGGUUUUUUUAAAAAAAGCUGGAGUCAUUUUACAGAAACGUGUUAAGAGCAUCCCUGCUGGAUCAAGCAAAAAAGCCCAUCUAGCCCAUGGGAAGAAUUUGUUUCCAUAGGGGAAGCAAAUUCCAUUAUUUGGGAUGUUGCUAUUGGAACGACGUAUAAAAGCCACCCACAAACAUUAGUGUGUCAAGGUCCCCAAGCCACCCCAAAUAACUCACAUAACACAGAGAAUUUUUGUUUAAGGUUUUUGGCAUAAUUUUGGCCACAACUUUAUUAAAAUACAAAAAAUGUGAGUGGUUGCUUAGGCAUUGGUUGCGACUAUCUGCCCCCCAGUGGGGGACAGACUGACAUUUCGCAAGCCUGCGAAAGUCAGAAAAGGGGAAUACAUUUGGGGGUAGCGACGGAGCAGGGAACCUGCCCUCAGCCCUCCCCAAAUGCAACCAGGAGCUCUUGCAAUGGCCCUAGCCCCCUUGACAGGGUUCAGACAAAAGCAAUAGUGAGCCACUGUAUUCCUUUAACGGAAUCCCUUGCAGCAGCAGCACUAGAGGGGCAGGGACAGCCAAUCCAUGCCCCUCAACCAACCAAACCAUAAACCAAUGCCUAACCACAACCUUACAAGUUGUGACGAUUUGCUACGCAGUAGGCAAAAACCAAAUGGCCCCAGCCAAUCAGCCAGAUGGACAAAAUUCCUACUGGGCCCCUGCCCCAAGAGCAGAUGACCCCAUGACAGGCAUAGCAAGAUCAAAGUGAACAACCCUAAAUAUAGGGGGGGGCGGGUAAUCCGAUCCACGGAGCGAAAAGAGGAAGCUCUACGCCUCGUGUAGGGAGUUUUAACAUUUCUGGCUGUCAAUCAUCAAAUUGCAACAUUAACAUCUUCCCAACAACAAGGGAAGCCCAGUCACAACAGUGGCCACUGAUCAAUUCACCCGCCCCACAACUUUGGAGCGUCCUGUCAGCCCCCACUGCAACACGUGCUCUUCAUGAAGGAGAACACACUUUGUCUGAUAUGAGCAAGCUUCCCUUUGUUGUAUCUUCAUCAGUAUCUACAUUAUCAGCAGUGAGAACAAAGAUAGACUAGAUGUUUGGGCAAACUGCAUGCUGGGAAGCCAUUUCGUACAGGUGAAGUCACCUUACACUGAGUCAGGCCAUUGGCUGAUGUAGCCCAGUGUUGUCCACUUAAACAGAGCCUCCUCAAGAGUCUUUUCCGGCUCUGCUAAAGUUUACUUUUAAGCACAGUUUAAGCUUUAUUUGGGUCUCAAUAAAUUGGGGGGGGGGGGUAGCAGAAUUGCUGUAAGUGGUUUGUGUGCAUAUUAUGGUACCUGCAGAUCUCAGUGCCUCUCCUUCCUGGCAGAACUCCUGGCUGCCGCUGUAAUGUGAAUACACUGAAUUACUGAUAAUGCUUAGAUGCUCGUUCUAGCAGCAUUUCCCAUUGUUCUCUCUGUUGAAUCGCUGGUAAUCUGCUUGCUGGAGCUUUCUAGCAGAGGACAAAUAGAAUGACUCUUGACAACAACAGAUGGCAGUAAAUGAAAAUACAGGAUGAGUGGCACUGACGUGUUUGUUUAUUAGUUGCAAGUUUGGAUAUUGAGAAUUAUUUUUGAGUAAAACAUUUCCUUUGAGAAGCUGCUUUUUAGAGCUGUUAUGUUUUGGGUUUAACACAUUUUAUGUUACAAGGCGCGUUCUAACCAAUCGUAUAAUCGUGCUGCGGUGCGGUCUUGGGCCUCUGGCAGCCGGCAGGAGAUCAUCAAUCCCACCUUCGUCGUCAAUGUUAAAUGUUCGGAAAAAGUCAGAAGCCCAGGCAGUAUAGGUUCCUCAACUACGUUUUUUAACAUUUGUCAGUGACAACAGCUCACUCAUAGGAAAACAAGAACCGAACUGACUGGACAACACAAUAAUAAAGCCGAGCGUGAACUGACCGUUGACAGUUGAAAGUGCAUGCGCUUACUUGCCAUUAGAAGAUUCGUCUACCAAUGCUUAUACGAUUGGUUAGAACGCGCCUUGUAACAUAAAAUGUGUUAAACCCCAAUACAUAACACUCCUCCCCCCAACUUCCUAACAAAAGGAACAAACAUAGCCAUCUCCCCCCCGCCCCCCAAAAAAAUAUAGUCCCGCCCGCCACAAGGUCUGAGGGACAGUGGACCGGCCCCCUGCUGAAAAGGUUUGCUGACCCCUGAUUUUAUGCUUUCUUAAUGGAAAUCUCAUACUCCUUACACCUGAAUUUUCUAUAGGCUAAAUACUCUCCUAUCUUACCUUUUUAACAUAAGUUUCCCAAGACUUUUUUUUACAGCUUUGAAAAAUACAAAGUGUGCUUGAAUUCCGUUUUUUCUGCCCCCAACCAUUACACUACUAGGAACAGUUUGUGCUGGUUUGUGGGAAGAACAUUGUCAUAUAAUAUCACAACAUUUCAUAUCACACCUUCUUUUCUUUUUUUCAGGAAAGAAAGAAUUGCCCCAGCGUGAAGUGUUUAUCAUUUGAGACUCGGGCAGUUUUCACAAUGGGUAUCCAUGCCUCUGAAAACUGAUAGAUGUAUCAAGUCUUGUUAAGAUCAUUCAUGGCUUAUCAUUGCAGAAAAUGAGAAGCAACUGAAAGAAAAUGUCAUGGUGUCAUAGGCGUGCACAAGAGGUGUGCCCAGGCAUACCCUAAUGUUUAUAAAAAUGGGGAGAAAGGGAAGCAAACAGAGAAAGAGGCAGAAUUUUUUUUUUUUAA